rnacentral:lncRNA from 1 species
AUUUAAUAGCUUUUCCCAUUCACACAGCUAUUUUAAAUAGGGUCUUAUUUGUAUCUAUCACCUUGGUAGCCAAGUUUCUAUAUCAAAUCCUGAACAUUUCAUUAUUAUUAAAAAUAUAAAAGUCAUCUACUUCAUCCAUUCUGUAUGGUGUGGUGAGCAAAAUUGGAUGUGAAGUCACAGUGCAGUAAUAGAGUAAUUAUUGUCUGGAGUUUCUUGUAAUAUACUUACAGCCUGUUGUACAGAAGAUGUAUUGUAUUACAGUUGUUUGUGGCCAUUUUGUCAUAUAUAGUGGAUCAAGAAGUAUUCUCUCCUAUCUUGAAGAACAGGGGUCCUCCAUGGAAGAUGUCAUCUGAAGUGCUUUCCAUGUUUUUUCUUUCUUUUUUUCUUUGUUUUUUUCUUUCCCUUCCU